rnacentral:rRNA from 1 species
AAUAGAUACCCCGGUAGUCCACGCUGUAAACGUUGGGCGCUAGGUGUGGGGGGGCCUCUCCGGUUCUCUGUGCCGCAGCUAACGCAUUAAGCGCCCCGCCUGGGGAGUACGGCCGCAAGGCUAAAACUCAAAGGAAUUGACGGGGGGCCCGCACAAGCGGCGGAGCAUGCGGAUUAAUUCGAUGCAACGCGAAGAACCUUACCUGGGUUUGACAUGGCCGCAAAACCGGCAGAGAUGUCGGGUCCUUCGGGGGCGGUCACAGGUGGUGCAUGGCUGUCGUCAGCUCGUGUCGUGAGAUGUUGGGUUAAGUCCCGCAACGAGCGCAACCCUCGUUCGAUGUUGCCAGCGGUUCGGCCGGGGACUCAUCGAAGACUGCCGGGGUCAACUCGGAGGAAGGUGGGGAUGACGUCAAGUCAUCAUGCCCCUUAUGUCCAGGGCUUCACGCAUGCUACAAUGGCCGGUACAAUGGGCUGCGAUACCGUGAGGUGGAGCGAAUCCCAAAAAGCCGGUCUCAGUUCGGAUCGGGGUCUGCAACUCGACCCCGU